AUGGGACUAUCAUGACGGGGGCUCAGUUGCUGAAGUGUAUAAAUGAUCCUAAGAGUGCCCUGAAUCUUCUCGGUGCUUUUGUUGAAUGCCUCAAGUGGUAUGAUAACAAGAACGACCAGAAUAAGAAGAGAGUCAUUAUCCAACCACAAGAUCAGUUGGAUGAAGAAUUUGUGCAAGUGAUUAUGAAAGAGAUUGGGAAAUUCCAAGGAGGGAUUUCAAAGCAGAGAUUCCUAUUUUGUCCUCUAAUUCAAGAAGAUCCUAUCAUUCAAGAACCAGAAGGCAUAGUGCUUCUCGUUGAUAUGGAAUAUAAAAACGAGGUCACUGUCUGUACGAUAACAAUGAGCUUGGAACCAUCAGUGAAAAAUUUGCGAAGAAGGUAGACGAAGCCUUUCGGAGAUGUGGCUACACCUCACCAUUUACAUGCCAUGGCGACGAAGGUAGACAAACCGUCGGUGAAAAUUUUGCAUGGGUAAGUUUUAGUCUGGAAUGUUAUAAAGAAUCAAGUGCAUUUGCAUGUAUGCUUUGCAUUCAGCAGUUCAAUGGAGUAAAGAUGCCCAAAGUCAUGUGUAACUCGAAGAGGGCUGAGUUAGAGAAGAAACUCUUUCUGGCGAACCUUCUUGCCCACAAGAAGAACACUGUAAUGCCUUAAGAGAUUAAGCAAAUGGUGUCACAAGGUAAGAAUGCAAAGAGGGUGCCUCAAAAGAUUAAGCAAAUAGUGUCACAAGGUAAGAAUGCAAAGAGGGUGAAGAGAUAAGUGGCACUUUUGGUUCUUCGUGCUGGUGUGCCAUUAAACAAGGACAAGCUGUAGCAGUCAAGCUCCAGCUGAAUCUGUCAAUGAUAUCUCUGAUGAUGAAGAUGGAUCAUGGAUGGAUGCAAGCAUGGAGCUGGACAAUUUGUUGCCUUGCUUAGACUCCAUUUUCGUUUGCCUUAUGCAUUUUUGUUUGUGGAACUUGCUGGAUUGCUGGAUGUUGGAGCCCUUGAGGCAUGGUCGCAUGGUCAUGUUAAUU